rnacentral:misc_RNA from 1 species
UUAAGUUCAGCGGGUAUUCCUACCUGAGUCUCGAGGUCAACCUUAGAAGAGUUGGGUUGUUUACGGCAUAGCCACGCCGCUCUCCGCCUGCGAGAUAUUGCUACUACGCAGAGGAGGCCACGACGAGACCGCCACUCUAUUUCGGGGCGGCCACCUAGAAGAAAGGCAGCCGAUCCCCAACACCACAUCCAGCAAAGAAA